rnacentral:rRNA from 1 species
UACGUAGGGCGCAAGCGUUGUCCGGAAUUAUUGGGCGUAAAGAGCUCGUAGGCGGCUUGUCACGUCGGGUGUGAAAGACCGGGGCUUAACCCCGGUUCUGCAUUCGAUACGGGCUGGCUAGAGUGUGGUAGGGGAGAUCGGAAUUCCUGGUGUAGCGGUGAAAUGCGUAGAUAUCUGGAGGAACACCGGUGGCGAAGGCGGCAUCCUGGACCGACACUGACGCUGAGGAGCGAAAGCCAGGGGAGCAAACGGG